rnacentral:tRNA from 1 species
UCCCCGGUAGCUCAGCAGGUAGAGCGGUUGGCUGUUAACCAACUGGUCGCUGGUUCGAAUCCGGCCCGGGGAG